rnacentral:lncRNA from 1 species
UGCAUCUCCCUACUUUGCAUAAUUUAUUAAAGCUAAACUCUACCCAGUCAUGGUCAAUUUCUACCUCUUUGGCCUGCGUCUCCGCACUUCUCAUAAUUUAUUACAGUUAAACUCUACCCAGUCUAGUAAGAGUCAUGUGACUUUCAUUUGCUUUGUUUCUAUGAAAACUUGAUCCAUGUACCACUUACUCUUGACCACC